rnacentral:rRNA from 1 species
GAUGAACGCUGGCGGCGUGCCUAAUACAUGCAAGUCGAGCGAAUGGAUUAAGAGCUUGCUCUUAUGAAGUUAGCGGCGGACGGGUGAGUAACACGUGGGUAACCUGCCCAUAAGACUGGGAUAACUCCGGGGAACCGGGGCUAAUACCGGAUAACAUUUUGAACCGCAUGGUUCGAAAUUGAAAGGCGGCUUCGGCUGUCACUUAUGGAUGGGCCCGCGUCGCAUUAGCUAGUUGGUGAGGUAACGGCUCACCAAGGCAACGAUGCGUAGCCGACCUGAGAGGGUGAUCGGCCACACUGAGACUGAGACACGGCCCAGACUCCUACGGGAGGCAGCAGUAGGGAAUCUUCCGCAAUGGACGAAAGUCUGACGGAGCAACGCCGCGUGAGUGAUGAAGGCUUUCGGGUCGUAAAACUCUGUUGUUAGGGAAGAACAAGUGCUAGUUGAAUAAGCUGGCACCUUGACGGUACCUAACCAGAAAGCCACGGCUAACUACGUGCCAGCCGCCGCCGUAA